rnacentral:rRNA from 1 species
UCCACGCCCUAAACGAUGAACACUAGUCGUCGGGAUGCUGGUCAUCUCGGUGAUGCACUUAACAGAUUAAGUGUUCCGCCUGGGGAGUACGGUCGCAAGAUUAAAACUCAAAGGAAUAGACGGGGAGAUGGAAUUAGUGGUGUAGCAUGUGGUUUAAUUCGAAGAUACGCGAAGAACCUUACCUAGCCUUGACAUUGAAGAAACACACUAGAGAUAGAGUGGUG